AACGUAGGUUCCGAGCGUUAUCCGGAUUUACUGGGCGUAAAGCGCGUUCAGGCGGUUCGGCAAGUCGGGCAUGAAAUCUCUCGGCUCAACCGGGAGAGGUUGUCCGAUACUGUUGGACUUGAGGGCAGUAGAGGGUGGUGGAAUUCCGGGUGUAGUGGUGAAAUGCGUAGAUAUUGGGAAGAACACCAGUGGCGAAGGCGGCUCACUGGCCCGUAACUGACGCUGAGGUGCGAAAGCGUGGGGAGCAAACAGG
rnacentral:rRNA from 1 species